UACGAAGGGGGCUAGCGUUACUCGGAUUGACUGGGCGUAAAGGGCGCGUAGGCGGUUCGUACAGUCAGACGUGAAAUUCCUGGGCUCAACCUGGGGGCUGCGUUUGAUACGUGCGGGCUUGAGUUCGGAAGAGGGUCGUGGAAUUCCCAGUGUAGAGGUGAAAUUCGUAGAUAUUGGGAAGAACACCGGUGGCGAAGGCGGCGACCUGGUCCGAUACUGACGCUGAGGCGCGAAAGACGUGGGGAGCAAACAGG
rnacentral:rRNA from 1 species